rnacentral:rRNA from 1 species
UACGGGGGGGGCAAGCGUUUUUCGGAAUUACUGGGCGUAAAGGGCGCGUAGGCGGGUGGACAAUUCUCUCGUGAAAGCCCACGGCUCAACCGUGGAAUUGCGGGAGAUACUGUCUGUCUUGAGUCCGGGAGAGGAGGGUGGAAUUCCCAGUGUAGCGGUGAAAUGCGUAGAUAUUGGGAGGAACAUCGGUGGCGAAUGCGGCUCUCUGGACCGGUACUGACGCUGAGGUGCGAAAGCUAGGGGAGCAAACGGG